rnacentral:rRNA from 1 species
GAUGAACGCUAGCUACAGGCUUAACACAUGCAAGUCGAGGGGAAACGACAGAGGAAGCUUGCUUCCUUUGGGCGUCGACCGGCGCACGGGUGAGUAACGCGUAUCCAACCUUCCCGCAAGUAAGGGAUAACCCGUAGAAAUGCGGCCUAAUACCUUAUGUUUUCCUUAGAGGGCAUCUGAUGAGGAGCAAAGAUCCGUCGCUUGCGGAUGGGGAUGCGUCUGAUUAGUUAGUCGGCGGGGUAACGGCCCACCGAGACGACGAUCAGUAGGGGUUCUGAGAGGAAGGUCCCCCACAUUGGAACUGAGACACGGUCCAAACUCCUACGGGAGGCAGCAGUGAGGAAUAUUGGUCAAUGGGCGAGAGCCUGAACCAGCCAAGUAGCGUGCAGGACGACGGCCCUAUGGGUUGUAAACUGCUUUUGCGCGGGGAUAAAGUGCGCCACGUGUGGCUCAUUGCAGGUACCGCGCGAAUAAGGACCGGCUAAUUCCGUG